UACGAAGGGGGCUAGCGUUGUUCGGAUUAACUGGGCGUAAAGGGUGCGUAGGCGGCUUUUUAAGUCUGGUGUGAAAUCUCCCGGCUCAACUGGGAGGGUGCGCCGGAUACUGAGGGGCUAGAGUGUGGGAGAGGAAAGUGGAAUUCCUAGUGUAGCGGUGAAAUGCGUAGAUAUCAGGAGGAACACCGGUGGUGUAAACGGCUUUCUGGACCGUAGCUGACGCUGAGACACGAAAGCGUGGUAGCAAACAGG
rnacentral:rRNA from 1 species